AUUGAACGCUGGCGGCAUGCCUUACACAUGCAAGUCGAACGGCAGCGCGGACUUCGGUCUGGCGGCGAGUGGCGAACGGGUGAGUAAUACAUCGGAACGUACCCUGUUGUGGGGGAUAACUAGUCGAAAGAUUAGCUAAUACCGCAUACGACCUGAGGGUGAAAGUGGGGGACCGCAAGGCCUCACGCAGCAGGAGCGGCCGAUGUCUGAUUAGCUAGUUGGUGGGGUAAAGGCCCACCAAGGCGACGAUCAGUAGCUAGUCUGAGAGGCGAUCAGCCACACUGGGACUGAGACACGGCCCAGACUCCUACGGGAGGCAGCAGUGGGGAAUUUUGGACAAUGGGGGCAACCCUGAUCCAGCAAUGCCGCGUGUGUGAAGAAGGCCUUCGGGUUGUAAAGCACUUUUGUCCGGAAAGAAAUCGCGCUGGUUAAUACCUGGCGUGGAUGACGGUACCGGAAGAAUAAGCACCGGCUAACUACGUG
rnacentral:rRNA from 1 species